rnacentral:rRNA from 1 species
CCUACGGGAGGCAGCAGUGAGGAAUAUUGGUCAAUGCGCGCGAGCCUGAACCAGCCAAGUCGCGUGAGGGAUGAAGGUUCUAUGGAUCGUAAACCUCUUUUAUAAGGGAGUAAAGUGUGGGACGUGUCCUAUUUUGUAUGUACCUUAUGAAUAAGGAUAGGCUAACUCCGUGCCAGCAGCCGCGGUAAUACGGAGGAUCCGAGCGUUAUCCGGAUUUGUUGGGUUUAAAGGGAUCGUAGGCGGCCUUUUAAGUCAGCGGUGAAAGUCUGUGGCUCAACCAUAGAAUUGCCGUUGAAACUGGGGGGCUUGAGUAUGUGUGAGGCAGGCGGAAUGCGUGGUGUAGCGGUGAAAUGCUUAGAUAUCACGCAGAACCCCGAUUGCGAAGGCAGCCUGCCAAGCCAUGACUGACGCUGAUGCACGAAAGCGUGGGGAUCAAACAGGAUUAGAUACCCCAGUAGUC